UCCGGCUUAUCACCGGCAGUUUCCUUAUAGUUCCCGGCCUAACCGCUGGCAAAUAAGGAUGAGGGUUGCGCUCGUUGCGGGACUUAACCCAACAUCUCACGACACGAGCUGACGACAGCCAUGCAACACCUGUGUGUGGUCCAGCCGAACUGACGCCCACAUCUCUGCGGGCUACGACCACCAUGUCAAGGGUUGGUAAGGUUUUUCGCGUAGCAUCGAAUUAAACCGCAUGCUCCACUGCUUGUGCGAGCCCCCGUCAAUUCCUUUGAGUUUUAAUCUUGCGAUCGUACUCCCCAGGCGGAGUGCUUAAUGCGUUAGCUUUGAAACCGAAAAACAUGUUUCCCGAUAUCUAGCACUCAUCGUUUACAGCGUGGACUAC
rnacentral:misc_RNA from 1 species